AGAAUCAACGCUGGCGGCGUGCCUAACACAUGCAAGUCGAACGCGAAGACCCCGCAAGGGGUUGUUAGCGUGGCAAACGGGUGAGUAACGCGUGGGCGACCUACCUCAGAGUGGGGGAUAACCUUCCGAAAGGGAGGCUAAUACCGCAUGACAUGCCUUGUUUAGAUACAGGGACAUCAAGGCCGGGGAUCGUAAGACCUGGCGCUUGGAGAGGGGCCCGCGUCCGAUUAGCUAGUUGGUGGGUAACGGCUCACCAAGGCUCCGAUCGGUAUCCGGCCUGAGAGGGCGACGGACACACUGGAACUGAGACACGGUCCAGACUCCUACGGGAGCAGCAGUGGGAAUGUUCGCAAUGGGCAAAGCCUGACGACGCGAACGCCGAGUCGGAGAUGAAGACGUUUACGGGUCGUAAACCGUUCCUUUCCGACCGAGAUGAACUUCCCCUACCGACCGUAACG
rnacentral:rRNA from 1 species